GACGAACGCUGGCGGCGUGCUUAACACAUGCAAGUCGAACGGAAAGGCCCUGCUUUUGUGGGGUGCUCGAGUGGCGAACGGGUGAGUAACACGUGAGUAACCUGCCCUUGACUUUGGGAUAACUUCAGGAAACUGGGCCAAAUCCGGGAUGGGGCCUCCUGCUGCUGGUGGGGGGUGGGAAGUUUUGGGGGGUUGGGAAUGGACUCCCGGCUAUCCAGCUGGUGGGUGGGUUAGUGGCUUACCAGGCCUUGGACGGGUGGCCGGCCUGGGGGGGUGACCGGCAACAUUGGGACGGAGAUACGGCCAAGACUCCUACGGGAGGCAGCAGUGGGGAAUAUUGCACAAUGGGCGGAAGCCUGAUGCAGCAACGCCGCGUGCGGGAUGACGGCCUUCGGGUUGUAAACCGCUUUCGCCUGUGACGAAGCGUGAGUGACGGUAAUGGGUAAAGAAGCACCGGCUAACUACGUG
rnacentral:rRNA from 1 species